GUGAGGGAAUGACUGGUGACAGAGUGAGAGAGUGACUAGUGACCGAGUGAGGGAGGGAGUGGGUGACUAGUGACAGAGUGAGGAAGGGGGUGACACAGUGAUAGUCACCCCAUUCCUCCCUCUGUCACUAAUCACCACCUCCCUCACUCUCACUAGUCACACCCUCCCUCUCUCUGUCACUAGUCACACCCUUACUCACUAGUCACACCCUUACUCACUGUCACUAGUCACACCCUCCCUCUC